UGGGGGAAUAGUCAUACUGUGAUCUUGAUCUCAAAGCUUGAUCUCUAAUACUAAUUAAGAGGCGGAUAAGUUGAACAACCUGACAUGGACUAAUGCAUGGUAGGUUUACUCUUGUUUGUAAUUUGCAUUCUCAGUUACACUGAAACCGCAAUCAAGGGCAUUUUUCAUUCUUAACAUUGUCGUUCUUUUAGUGGUAAGCAAUAAGAAUAUGUCCUAAAGCAGUUGCAAAGGUAUAAAAGUUAGAAACGCCCCAUUCUAUAAUCAGUUGAGCAUUUUGAAGAUAAAACUUGUGUGCUUGAUAUAAACCUAGCUUGCAGCGUUGUGUGUGAAAUAUGAAGCAGAGUUUAGACCAAACAUGAGCAUUGUAGUACAAGCUCUUCAACCGCUAUUGAGGUCUUCAGGAACAGCUACUGCACCUCAUAGACAAGCUUGAUUUUCUUCUUUGUGGUUCUUGCAUACUGGAUUCAUUCAUGGCUUUAGAAGCUCUUUUGAAAGAGAUGGUGAGUAGGGAAUGUAUUUGAGUUGAUGGAGAUAGGAUCUGCUGAUUCAUGGAAGACAAUUCGAAUGUACACAAAGUUAUGACAGAUCUUUUUGAUUCAUAUGAAUUAGUUUACAAUAUCAUAAUAAUACAUAAUCUUGUAGCUUUUGUUCUUCAAAGAGUAACUUCAAGACACUAUACUAGGACUAAAAAAUGUUUCUAUAACUUCUGCCAUCUGAUUUAAAAUCACUCUGUUAAGUUGAUUAGGACACAAGUGUAUGAAAAGGGUUGUUUUAAAUUGUCACUAAGAAGUUGAAAAAAAGGGCGUAGAAGAAGAAGUUUCAACUAGGAGGGAAUCAAACCAAGAGCUUCAGCAGCACUUCUCUGACUCUCUUCACUGCAACACAUUCCAACAAACGUUCUCAUCAGAGACUGUCUCUCUUCCAGCUUCAUGAGUUUCUCCAGCCCUCUUGCCACCAUUUCCAUCUCAGCCUGAUGGAUAAGUAAACAAGCAGAAGAAGUUUUAGUGAAAACAAUGAGAAAAUGAAGCAGAGACUGAAUGGUUAAAACUACAACAGAAAGAAGAAGAAAAACACAUACAGAGUACUCCUCAGGAGGAAAUAUGCGAUGAAUGAGGCAUAUUUUCGAUAGUUCUGCCACCGAUUCAGACUGUUUACCCUGUAUUUCCAGAGCCUGCAGUAACAUAGAGUUUGCACAGGACACAAAGUAUACUUCAGCGUUUGAUUCUGAUCAUAAUACCAUCUAAGUUAACCAGAAGAAGGAAUAGGAAGCUACCCAAGCUUGUAGAAACCAUGAACGUGUGCGUGCAGCAACAGCAGCAGAAACCAUCCUAGCAGCAUCUAUCUUUGCAAGCCCAAUGUUCUCAGCAAGCCCAGCGAUGAACUCCCGAGCAUCUUCACUACAAAUCUCCACAGAAGAAGAUUCCCAAGGAGCUCUAUAAAUAGUUUUCAAACAAGUUCAGCACCACACCAUAACAAAAAGGAGUAAAUUCAACUUAAUAAUUACAGGUCAAUAGAGAGUCAGACACCUGCUGCAAGCAUUUAGGACAAAAUCAACAGAUGUUCUGUAAAAGGAAUCUCGAGUGUUUGUUGGCUCAAUAGAGACUUGCACUCCAGCAAUCCUACAUACUCUACGCAGCUGUAUAUCAUUCCAUAGGAACAAACAUAAAGAGAGUAAUCUAGUUAAGUCAAGAUAGUUACACACAAUCGAGUGUGACAAAACAGAAAGGAAACAGAUACUAAACUUGAAUAAUAUCAUUUUCCGUGAUGUCUCUUCCACUGGUUCUGUUAUCCACGAUUGCUGGAAACUAAAUUGAUAAGUUACAUUUAUAGAACGAAACCACAAACACGUAAGUAAUACUAAUACCAUUGCAAAUUCAAAUCUUUCUGUCUACCUGAAACAAAACAGACAAAAGAAGUAGUCUUUCAGUAAAAGCUUGUCAUGAAAAACCAAAAGACAUGACUUUGAAAGAGUUUAAAGAAGCAACCUCGAACGAUUCUGUUGGCUUCUCUCUGAUAAUCUUCUUUGUCUACUUCCAAGCUCUGGCAAGGCAAUGAAGCAGGCCACCAUUUCGGCAAAUUGUUCUGAGCUCUAAGCUUGAGGUUUCUAGCUACAGAGUUACUUCUAGAAGCCUGACCAGAAGAAGAAGCUAAGGAGCUUGAAGAUGAACGAAUGCUAUCAACAGCUACAACCACUUCCUUACCACCAAGACUCCUAUCUCUCCUAACUACCACUUUAGGUUUCCCUUGGAAGCUACCCUUCAGACCAGUUCCUAAGUGGACAAGAACCUUAAUAGCAAAACCAAACACGAGUCCAAGCAAGACAACACCUCCAACGAACUGCACGGUUGAUUUCCUGCACGUGACGACGACGCGCUUGUUGUCGUCUAGCGAGACUAGAGUUUGCAAGUCGGAGACGGCGUCUUUCCCCUUCUUCUUCCCAAGAUCCUCACCGUCAUCAUCCACAGCUUCAAGAACCUUCCAUGCCCCAUCAUUCCUCUCUUCAAGAACCUUCCAUGCCCCAUCACUCCUCUCCUCCAAAACCUUCAGCAAACCAACCAUCACCACCGUCAUCAUCAUUGCCUUACUUUCCACUCUGUCCCAAGAACUUCACCAACUACUUGCCCUGCCACGAUCCAUCAACAGCACGACAGUACAACAUUGAAAGACACUACCGGAGAGAGAGGCACUGCCCUGACUCAUCAUCCCACGAGAAGAAGCUCAGGUGUUUGGUCCCAAAGCCCUCUGGCUACAAAACGCCUUUUCCUUGGCCUGAUAGUAGAAGCUACGCUUGGUUCAAGAACGUUCCCUUCAAGAAGCUAGCUGAGUUUAAAAGACUCAGAACUGGGUUAGGCUUGAAAGAGACCGCUUUGUUUUCCCCGGAGGUGGGACUUCAUUCCCUGGUGGCGUGAAGGACUAUGUUGAUGUGAUUAUGAAGGUUUUGCCAUUAGCUUCUGGGAGUAUCAGGACUGUUCUUGAUGUUGGAUGUGGAGUGAGUUCACUUACAUGAUGAGUAGAAACCAUUACUAGAUUAUUAUUUGAUAUUUGACUGCAGUGUGUUUAUGGAUUGAUCAUUGUGUCAGGUAGCGAGUUUUGGAGCUUUUUUGCUUAACCAUAACAUCUUGACACUGUCAAUAGCACCUAGGGAUGUACACGAGGCUCAAGUUCAGUUUGCAUUAGAACGUGGACUCCCUUCUAUGCUCGGUGUUCUAAGCACUUAUAAACUGCCUUACCCAUCAAAGUCUUUUGACAUGGUCCAUUGUUCUAGGUGCCUUGUCAACUGGACUGCCUAUGGUAAUGUGUUUCUAAUAACUACGCAUCUGUGUCAGUUUAAUGUGUGUGUUUUAACCUUUUGGUCGAUUCAGAUGGGCUUUACUUGAUGGAGGUUGAUCGUGUUCUACGUCCUGGUGGAUACUGGGUGCUUUCUGGACCACCCGUAACAUCAAUGGUUAAAGCCAAGAACCAGAAGAAAGAUUUGCAGAAGGAGAUGGAAAAACUAAAUGAUGUUUUCAGAAAACUUUGUUGGGAGAAGAUUGCUGAAAGAUACCCAGUUGUCAUAUGGAGAAAGCCUUCUAAUCAUUUGCAGUGUAUAAAAAGACUAAAAGCUCUUAAGUUUCCUGGUCGCUGCUCUUCUGGUGACGACCCGAACGCUGCAUGGUGAGUUUACUUACUAAAAGUAUAUACCUUCUUCUGCAUCUUCAGAAGUUAAAGCUUGACUCAGAUAGAUCUUUUUUUUAACAAUAGGUACAAAGAGAUGGAGCCGUGCAUCACUCCUCUUCUAAAUGUUAAUGACACACACAAAAGAGUUCUUAGAAACUGGCCUGAGAGACUAAAUCACGUGCCUGGGCGACAUGGAGUGACCAUUUCGAGAUUUAAAGCUGACACUAACCUGUGGCAGAGAAUAGUUGUGUACUAUGACACUAAGUUAAAGUUUCUCAGCAAUGGAAAAUACAGAAACGUUAUGGAUAUGAAUGCUGGUUUGGGCGGUUUUGCUGCAGCAUUGAGCAAAUAUCCAAUGUGGGUGAUGAAUGUGGUACCGUUUGAUCUUAAACCGAACACACUCGGUGUUGUGUUCGACCGUGGCCUCAUUGGAACUUACAUGAACUGGUAAAAACACUCAAAAACUUGUCUGAUGUCAUCUAAUUGUGAUCUCUCUUAUACCGUCGUUUUCGGUUUCUUGUAGGUGUGAAGCUUUCUCUACGUACCCUAGAACCUAUGAUCUGAUUCAUGCCAAUGGUUUGUUCAGCUUGUACUUGGACAAGUAAGAUCUCUUUCUGUAACUUGGAACUUUGGUUUACAUUUCUUGUAAUAAAUGUGUAAUAUGGUCUAUUUUUGUUGGUUAUUGUGAUAGAUGUGACAUUGUUGAUAUACUAUUGGAGAUGCAGAUGAUUCUUAGACCCGGAGGAGCUGUUAUAAUUAGAGACGGUUUUGAUGUCCUUAUGAAAGUGAAGGCUAUAACCAAUCAAAUGAGAUGGAAUGGUACAAUGUAUUCAGAAGCAGAUAAUAGUUUUGACCAUGGAACAAUACUAAUUGUAGAUAAUUCAUUUAAAUAAAUAAAUAAAAAGCUUUUGGGGGAAUAGUCAUACUGUGAUCUUGAUCUCAAAGCUUGAUCUCUAAUACUAAUUAAGAGGCGGAUAAGUUGAACAACCUGACAUGGACUAAUGCAUGGUAGGUUUACUCUUGUUUGUAAUUUGCAUUCUCAGUUACACUGAAACCGCAAUCAAGGGCAUUUUUCAUUCUUAACAUUGUCGUUCUUUUAGUGGUAAGCAAUAAGAAUAUGUCCUAAAGCAGUUGCAAAGGUAUAAAAGUUAGAAACGCCCCAUUCUAUAAUCAGUUGAGCAUUUUGAAGAUAAAACUUGUGUGCUUGAUAUAAACCUAGCUUGCAGCGUUGUGUGUGAAAUAUGAAGCAGAGUUUAGACCAAACAUGAGCAUUGUAGUACAAGCUCUUCAACCGCUAUUGAGGUCUUCAGGAACAGCUACUGCACCUCAUAGACAAGCUUGAUCUUC
rnacentral:lncRNA from 1 species